AGGAGUUUGAUCAUGGGCUCAGAACGAACGCUGGCGGCAUGCCUAACACAUGCAAGUCGAACGAGGGCUUCGGCCCUAGUGGCGCACGGGUGAGUAACGCGUGGGAACCUGCCCUGUGGUACGGAAUAACUCCGGGAAACUGGAGCUAAUACCGUAUGUGUCCUGUGGGACAAAGAUUUAUCGCCAUGGGAUGGGCCCGCGUAGGAUUAGCUUGUUGGUGGGGUAACGGCCUACCAAGGCAACGAUCCUUAGCUGGUCUGAGAGGAUGAUCAGCCACACUGGGACUGAGACACGGCCCAGACUCCUACGGGAGGCAGCAGUGGGGAAUAUUGGACAAUGGGCGCAAGCCUGAUCCAGCAAUGCCGCGUGAGUGAUGAAGGCCUUCGGGUUGUAAAGCUCUUUCGCACGCGACGAUGAUGACGGUAGCGUGAGAAGAAGCCCCGGCUAACUUCGUGCCAGCAGCCGCGGUAAUACGAAGGGGGCUAGCGUUGUUCGGAAUUACUGGGCGUAAAGGGCGCGUAGGCGGUACUUCAAGUAAGGCGUGAAAGCCCCGGGCUCAACCUGGGAACCGCGCUUGAGACUGGAGAACUAGAGUUCGGGAGAGGAUGGUGGAAUUCCCAGUGUAGAGGUGAAAUUCGUAGAUAUUGGGAGGAACACCGAUGGCGAAGGCAGCCAUCUGGACCGACACUGACGCUGAGGCGCGAAAGCGUGGGGGAGCAAACAGGAUUAGAUACCUGGUAGUCCACGCCGUAAACGAUGAGUGCUAA
rnacentral:rRNA from 1 species